GUAGUCACUGGGGCUUUGGCUUAUCUUGCUUCUUCCUGUUUUUCUUAAACCACUGUGUGUGGGAUAUGUGUGCUGAAGAUUGGAGCAGCUAAAAGCUACAGGCAACAUUUUGCUUUCUGUUACCCCAGCACAACUUUCUCAUUUCCAAGAGGGUGCAGCCAGGAGCUCUCUUCUGCUCAGUCCAAAAGAUGCAACCACAUACCUGAACAGCCUUUUGUCCCCUCUUCCCCAUAGUCCUUGGAAAAGUGGCUCCUCCUUAAACUGGUGGCACUGGCUUCUGAUGCAGAUAAAUCACUUCCAGAGCAAGCCCAAAUAUGCAGAUAACCAUAAAAUUACAGCUGCCUGAAUCUGGAUAGGAAGAUCAAAUACCCAGAGAAUGACACAGAAAGAACCAUCACAGGGAGAAGAGGACAUCCAGUUGGACUGAUGUAAUCACCCAAAUGCCUCUCCAGCUCAGCUCUAAUUGAGGUUGUCAUGACUUGGCAGAGCAAAAGCAAAUUUUGUUGAUGAAAUUUUCAUCACUAUUAAAUGAGAAGAUCAGUGUUAUGUAAGAUCACCAAGUGGGUAGCAGAAAUGAGGAGGUUAUGCUGUUAUCUAAGCUCCUUAUCUUGCAUCUAUAGAAUUUAAAAAUUCAGGUCCAGCUCCCUUCCUGGGGAUUUCUUUUACAGAUCUCUUUCAAGACUGCACAGGAAACUGACUGGUUGAAGCAGAUGUUCGGCUUAACUCACAAAAAGGCAGCAGAUCCUGCUCAGCAGCUCCCGCCUUUUUGGAGGAGGAUGGGGACACACUGGGGAGUCCAAAAGACUCUACCCCUCACUGAGUAGCAGGGUUUCUGGUAUCAUUUAUUACAUAUAUCAGCUGCAACUGAGGGCUGCAAAAAGGCAGCUUUGCUUUGUGGAAAUGAAGAGAUUUUUCAUUUGUGUUGCUUUAAAGGCUGAAUGGAAAAGCUGAAAUAGUCAGUUUGGGGGGGGGGUCAAAGCACAGGUCUGGAUCUCUAGCAAACUUAGGGUCCUUGAACAACUCUC
rnacentral:lncRNA from 1 species